GGUAAUGUAGCUCAGUGGUAGAGCUGGUGCUUUUAGCAUGCAUGAGGCUCUGGGUUCAAACCACAGCACCA
rnacentral:tRNA from 1 species